GCAAGCUGGAACCAGAUCUGACCCUUUGGAACAAGGAGAUGAGAAAGGAAAUGGGGGAGGCGACCUGGAGGUUGGACGGGAGUUGGGGUCCAGGACUGGAACCUCAGGAGGGGGGAACACAGAGGGAAGAGUGGCUGAGACCAGCGCAGCUGUCUCGGGGCUUAGCCUUGGCUGUGCCCAGGAGCAGCUGCUGGGCCUGGAUGGGGUCCACCAGACCGGCAUGUGGUGAGAGGAGCUUCCAGUCCACCCCAGACCCUGGGCUAAAUUGACCAAGGAAGGCCCUUCCACAUUCUCCAGGUUUUCUUUGAAAAGCAUGUUCAAUAACCCCAUCAAAGCCGUCAGCUGACCAGCCCCAGAGGCGGCUGUCUCAAGGAAACAGUAAACUGGAUGAAGGAUGCCCUUCUCGUAUUUGGUUGACAUGCUUUAUGUGGGAUCACUCUUAUGACAACAGAAGGUAUAUAAAAAGGCUGUUACAGUUUCUUGGAAAUAAUAAAAUAACUUGGAGGGACUCGUAUGCCAAGGAAUCUGAAGAUGAGUGCCUGGCUAUAAAAGAGGACUUGCUUCAUAUUUCAUAAGGCUGCGGUUCAGCUGCCUGGCAGAAGUUGGGCUAAAAGACAUGGAAAUGCAGAGCCUGUAUCGAGCUACAAAUGAGAUGGGGGCCUGGGAGGAAGAUCAGAUUUUUUCAUAGACGUUAUUUAUAGCAGAAUAAAGAAGCUACACUUUGCA